UUUUAAAAUUUCGCUUUUUUCCUAAGAAAAUAAUUAUUUUCAAUUUAGAAAAAUCAUGAAUAGUCCAUGGAAAAUUACUUCCUUUUUAUUUGGCCAUCCUCACUGCCCGACAUAGUGUGCGAUUCCGUUGGAUUGAGUGCGCCACAGCUCCAAAAAUUUUGCAAAUUCUCUUAAAUAACGUGCAAUGUUCAAAUAACUAAAUUAUUGAAUUAAAUUCACUCAUGCUCUAUUUCUCUAUACACUCUUACAACAAAAUCAUGAAUAAUUUCUUGAACGUUUGACAGACAAAGCAAGGAAAUUCCA